GGUGGGAUGUUCGAGUGGUAGGAGGCUCGAUUCGGCAGGCCUCCAUGAUAAUUCUCGGACGGUCGUUGGUUCAAUUCCAACUCCCGUCU